rnacentral:rRNA from 1 species
GACGAACGCUGGCGGCGUGCUUAACACAUGCAAGUCGAACGGAAAGGCCCUGCUUUUGUGGGGUGCUCGAGUGGCGAACGGGUGAGUAACAUGUGAGUAACCUGCCCUGGACUUUGGGAUAACUUCAGGAAACUGGUGCUAAUACCGGAGAGGAGCGCCUGCUGCAUGGGGGGGGUUGGAAAGUUUCGGCGGUUGGGGAUCGACUCGCGGCUUAUUAGUUUGUUGGUUGGGGAGUGGCCUACCAAGGCUUUGGCGGGUAGCCGGCCUGGGAGGGUGACCGGCCACAUUGGGACUGAGAGACGGCCCAGACUCCUACGGGAGGCAGCAGUGGGGAGUAUUGCACAGUGGGCGGAAGCCUGAUGCAGCAACGCCGCGUGCGGGAUGACGGCCUUCGGGUUGUAAACCGCUUUCGCCUGUGACGAAGCGUGAGUGACGGUAAUGGGUAAAGAAGCACCGGCUAACUACGUG